CAGCAGCCGCGGUAAUACGGAGGGUGCAAGCGUUAAUCGGAAUUACUGGGCGUAAAGCGCACGCAGGCGGUCUGACAAGUCAGAUGUGAAAUCCCCGGGCUUAACCUGGGAACUGCAUUUGAAACUGUCAGGCUGGAGUCUUGUAGAGGGGGGUGGAAUUCCAGGUGUAGCGGUGAAAUGCGUAGAGAUCUGGAGGUAUACCGGUGGCGAAGGCGGCCCCCUGGACAAAGACUGACGCUCAGGUGCGAAAGCGUGGGGAGCAAACAGGAUUAGAUACCCCGGUAGUCCCUGUCUCUUAUAC
rnacentral:rRNA from 1 species